rnacentral:tRNA from 1 species
GGGCGAGUGGCGUAAUUGGCAGCCGCAGCAGAUUUAGGGUCUGCCGCCGAAAGGCGUGUCGGUUCGAGUCCGACCUCGCCCACCA